GGAUGUGCAAAUCUGAUGAAGAAUCUCACGGAAGAGUUUCAUGAAGGAGAACAAGGCAACAAUCACAUGAUUGAAAACUUGAUUGGUUAAUUAGGACAUGGUUAAUUAUUUCUGCAUCUUUCUUUCUUGAAAGAUGUAAUUUUUGCAGUGUUCAAAGGGGUAGGAUUUUGUACUAAGGAGGAAAUAAUACGAAGCAUGUGUUUUAGUUUUGAAGAAAAUAUCAGAACUGAACUGCAACACGUUUAACAGGCGAGCCAAGUUUCUUUGAUUAAUUCUUUUUUAUCUAUUUGCAGGUGUUAGAAAAGAAAGUUCAAGUUUUAAGUGUCUGAUUUUUGUAGCAGAGACUUUAUGAGGCUAGAAGGUACGGUAUGCAUUUAUCUUGCCCAUUUAUUUUUGCUUUCUCUGUGUUCCUGCGAUGGGUCAUGAGCUGAGAAAAAGAUAUUGAGUGAGCCCACUGUUAUGUUUGAUUCGGAUGGUUUACAUCCUUAGCUGAGGCAUUACUACAGAUGUAUGAGGGCAAAUGGGGUCACUUUCCAAGUGUCUUAAGCUUAUAGA